rnacentral:rRNA from 1 species
GAGUACGGUCGCAAGGCUGAAACUUUAAGGAAUUGGCGGGGGAGCACUACAAGGGGUGGAGGCUGCGGUUUAAUUGGAUUCAACGCCGGACAACUCACUGGAAACGACAGCGGAAUGAUAGCCAGGCUGAAGACUCUGCUUGACUAGCUGAGAGGAGGG